ACGAGAACGGUUCCUUCGGGAACUUAGUAAAGUGGCGCACGGGUGAGUAACGCGUAAGUAAUCUACCUUUGCAUCUGGAAUAACUACGGGAAGCUGUAGCUAAUACCGGAUACGUUCAUAUAGUUACGGCUAUAUGAAGAAAGAUGGCCUCUUCUUGAAAGCUAUCGUGCAAAGAGGAGCUUGCGUACCAUUAGCUAGUUGGUAGGGUAAUGGCCUACCAAGGCAACGAUGGUUAGCGGGUCUGAGAGGAUGAUCCGCCACACUGGAACUGGAACACGGACCAGACUCCUACGGGAGGCAGCAGUGAGGAAUAUUGCGCAAUGGGGGAAACCCUGACGCAGCGACGCCGCGUGGAUGAUGAAGGCCUUAGGGUCGUAAAAUCCUGUCAGGUGGGAAGAAGUGUAUGAGGGAACAAUACCCCUUGUGCUUGACGGUACCACCAAAGGAAGCACCGGCUAACUCCGUGCCAGCAGCCGCGGUAAUACGGAGGGUGCAAACGUUGUUCGGAAUUACUGGGCGUAAAGCGCGCGUAGGCGGUUUGUUAAGUCAGAUGUGAAAGCCCAAGGCUCAACCUUGGACGUGCAUUUGAAACUGGCAGACUUGAGUACUGGAGGGGAUGGUGGAAUUCCCGGUGUAGAGGUGAAAUUCGUAGAUAUCGGGAGGAAUACCGGUGGCGAAGGCGACCAUCUGGCCAGAUACUGACGCUGAGGUGCGAAAGCAUGGGGAGCAAACAGGAUUA
rnacentral:rRNA from 1 species